rnacentral:rRNA from 1 species
GACGAACGCUGGCGGCGUGCUUAACACAUGCAAGUCGAACGAAAAGACGGAAAGAGCUUGCUCUUUUCAGAAUUGAGUGGCAAACGGGUGAGUAACACGUAAACAACCUGCCUUCAGGAUGGGGACAACAGACGGAAACGACUGCUAAUACCGAAUAAGUUCCAAGAGCCGCAUGGCCCAUGGAAGAAAAGGUGGCCUCUACCUGUAAGCUAUCGCCUGAAGAGGGGUUUGCGUCUGAUUAGCUGGUUGGAGGGGUAACGGCCCACCAAGGCGACGAUCAGUAGCCGGUCUGAGAGGAUGAACGGCCACACUGGAACUGAGACACGGUCCAGACUCCUACGGGAGCAGCAGUGGGGAAUCUUCCGCAAUGGGCGAAAGCCUGACGGAGCAACGCCGCGUGAGUGAUGACGGCCUUCGGGUUGUAAAACUCUGUGAUCCGGGACGAAAAGGCAGAGUGCGAAGAACAAA